CGACUUUGAGGUAUGGCUGAGUGGCUUAAGGCAUUGGUUUGCUAAAUCGACAUACAAGAAGAUUGUAUCAUGAGUUCGAAUCCCAUUUCCUUUGG